UCUUUGCUAGGCUUGAAGAAAACCUGGUUACGUCAGCUGCAGCAGUUGGCAGGGGAAGCCCGGGGAAAGAAGAUCUCAUCCCAACCACAAGUGGAUCUGAAGCACCUCAGCCAUCUCCUAUCCUGACAACUCGGGCGCCAGCAGGUGCAGAAAGUACAACAGGUCCUGGUGUGGAAGAUAUGUCAACCUUAGCAAGCUCAACCCAGAGUCACCAAAAAAGCCAGACAACUACAGCCCCACCUAUGGCAACCGAAACCUCAACAGUGAAUGUGACUGAGCCAACACAGACAACAGUUCAUAAAGAUGGUUUGUCAACAGUGAGCCUGGCUGGAAUUGUCAUUGGACUCUUAAUCACCAUCUGCUUCCUUGGUGGAGUCAUCUUUCUAUUUGUCCGGAAAAUGUCCAAUUGAUUCUCGUCCCAAAGAGUUGGAGAAUCAUGCCCUCGGCCAACAUGUUUGGAAAAAGAGUUUCUGUCUUCCCCCAUUCCCUGUCCCCAGCUGGUGGGAGAAGAUGACCCAUGGACCACUCACACCCACUCAAAAAUCCAUGGCGAUUCCCCCACGUGCCGUAAGCAGCUGAAGGAAAGAUAAUUCACAUGACUUGAUUCCUCUAAGCAUCUGCCUUUUGAAGAAAUUUUUAAAUAUAAAUUUUAUAGCUGAUUUAAACACAAAGCACCUGGAAAAGGAGACAAAACUAUAAAACUGAUCUGUCACUGAGCCAGUAUCAUUUGAUCGAUGUUAGUGACUGUACUCGUGUCUUAAUCAUUGUCUUUGUUCUGUUUUUGUUAAAAUGCAGUGGAAUCUGGAGAUGUUUAUAUCCAUGGAGACCAUGAUCCCAAGCUCCAUCAGGGCACAGACAUUUUGCAAUUGCUGAUCUUUUGAAAAGUACACAUUCCAGUCUGGUUUGGUCUAGUUUUUAAAGCCCGACUGGGUAGGAAAGUCUAAGCUUGGAGAACAGAUGACUUAUUUGCUCCCCCUAAAAGCAGUUGCUUAAGUCAUUUCAAAGGUACACAUUUUAGAUCACCAACAGGAGGUCUACCCUUUGAGGAAGGUACUUUGUUUCUGGCAAAACCUAGAGCCACCUCUAGGCCAGCGAUGACUGAUGACUCAAAGGAUGUGUUCCCACCCGCCCUCCCCGCUUCCCUCACCUCCUGGCAGCCAAAGUUAAGGGGUGGCUUUCUCCCCAGUCAGUGACACAAAUCCACCAGGUUGAUGUACGCAGAUCACAGCCCCAGAUGCCCAGGAAGUUGCUGGAUGCCCCAUGGUGCUAGAAGGCCCACUCUUCUAGAAACCAAGACCCAGUUUGAUCCCCAGGCAGAAAGAAACCCUACCUAUGUGUGCCUUUGGCGGGGAACUGUCUCUGAGGAAAGCAAGCAGACCAAAAAUAACCCUGCACAAUGUGUUUUAAAAGCAGCUGGACUUAAAGAUAUGAUUUAAAAUAAAAUAAAUUUUCAGUGUUUCUGACACCCUGAGUCUUUCCAUGGGGUCAUGUUGCAAAAACUCAAAAUAAAGGAGCAUGAGGGCCCGGGUCUGUCCCCUCACAGUACAGCAUGGUGAUUCUCUUCCCGUGGACACACUAACUUCUUUUUCCUACAAAAAAAUGUUUUUAUGUAAACCAGAUGCUCUGUCAUGAUUGUGGUUGUGCAACCCUGAUAUCCUCUAAACACAAGAGCUCAUAAAACAGGAAAAAAUAAACGACCCAUUGGAAGCCCAGCCCACCAUCCCUCCCCUCUUCUCUCUCUCUCUCUCUCUCUCUCU